GACGAACGCUGGCGGCGUGCCUAAUACAUGCAAGUAGAACGAGCGGCGGACGGGUGAGUAAUGUCUGGGAAACUGCCUUCUGGAGGGGGAUAACUACUGGAAACGGUAGCUAAUACCGCAUACCAUCAGAUGUUCCCCGAUGGGAUUAGCUAGGAGGGGGGGUAAUGGCUCACCUAGGCGACGAUCCCUAGCUGGUCUGAGAGGAUGAGCAGCCACACUGGAACUGAGACACGGUCCAGACUCCUACGGGAGGCAGCAGUGGGGAAUAUUGCACAAUGGGCGCAAGCCUGAUGCAGCCAUGCCGCGUGUGUGAAGAAGGCCUUCGGGUUGGAAAGCACUUUCAGCGGGGAGGCGUUACCCGCAGAAGAAGCACCGGCUAACUCCGUGCCAGCAGCCGCGGUAAUAC
rnacentral:rRNA from 1 species